rnacentral:rRNA from 1 species
AGUGAACGCUGGCGGUAGGCCUAACACAUGCAGGUCGAAUGGCAGCACAGUAAGAGCUUGCUCUUACGGGUGGCGAGUGGCGGACGGGUGAGGAAUACAUCGGAAUCUACUUUUUCGUGGGGGAUAACGUAGGGAAACUUACGCUAAUACCGCAUACGACCUACGGGUGAAAGCAGGGGAUCUUCGGACCUUGCGCGAUUGAAUGAGCCGAUGUCGGAUUAGCUAGUUGGCGGGGUAAAGGCCCACCAAGGCGACGAUCCGUAGCUGGUCUGAGAGGAUGAUCAGCCACACUGGAACUGAGACACGGUCCAGACUCCUACGGGAGGCAGCAGUGGGGAAUAUUGGACAAUGGGCGCAAGCCUGAUCCAGCCAUACCGCGUGGGUGAAGAAGGCCUUCGGGUUGUAAAGCCCUUUUGUUGGGAAAGAAAAGCAGCAGGUUAAUACCCCGCUGUUCUGACGGUACCCAAAGAAUAAGCACCGGCUAACUUCGUG